CAUACUACUCUCUACCGUAGUCUCUCUUAAUACUACGUCAUCUUACAGCACUGUGGUCGAGCUGCUGCUCUGCCCAGUGCGUUCCAUACAAACGCUAAAGGGGGAUUCUUGCAUCGUAUCUGACGUUGAGAGCCACUGCCCAAGCAUCCAUAUUUUACGAGUUGGUAGUGGGAACGGGUUGGUAAAGUAUUGGACAGAUA